AUAAAAGGAAUGCAAAUAUCAAGCAAGAUAGUACCAUUCAGGAUGCAUUGUUUCUUAUGCCUAGGUCCAACAUAACAGCUAACACAUUACGGAGCGUGCAGGCAACAAUCAUAUAUUGUGAGUGGUUUUUCAGUUUAUUGGCACAGAACUCAUCUACUAACAGGUGGAAAAUGGGGUAGUACCCACAGUAUGAAAUCUCAAGGAGCAAUACUCCCCUUCCUGAAUUUUUUCUCAAGCUAUGCAAUUACUACUCUGUCAGGACAUAUAUGGAUGAUGGACUGAUAUGUCUGUCAAGUUCAAAUUGAAGAAAGCACCGAAGUUUGGAUCCUCAUUUACUGCAAACAUUUAAAUUCUAUGAUCAGAAUUUGCCUGACAAAGACAUCAUAAAGUUCGGUUUCGGAAAACUUGCUGGUCGAGAAUUAGUGCAUCCUGCACCAUCGGCAGCCUAAAAGGGAAAUAACAGGCGCAUAUUGAUCUCUCUGGUUGAGGCUACAGUCAUUUAUUCAACUUGACACUCGGGACCUUGAGCUUGUAGAUCGUUUAUUAUUUCUGCUACCAAAAGGAGUUCCUGCUGAUCUUUUUGCAA